rnacentral:rRNA from 1 species
UACGUAGGGUGCAAGCGUUGUCCGGAAUUAUUGGGCGUAAAAGAGCUCGUAGGCGGUCUGUCGCGUCGGCUGUGAAAACCCCGGGGCUCAACCCCGGGCCUGCAGUCGAUACGGGCAGACUAGAGUUCGGCAGGGGGAGACUGGAAUUCCUGGUGUAGCGGUGAAAUGCGCAGAUAUCAGGAGGAACACCGGUGGCGAAGGCGGGUCUCUGG